rnacentral:rRNA from 1 species
UACGGAGGAUGCAAGCGUUAUCCGGAAUGAUUGGGCGUAAAGCGUCCGCAGGUGGCUGUGUAAGUCUGCUGUCAAAGAGCGAAGCUCAACUUCGUAAAGGCAGUGGAAACUACACGGCUAGAGUGCGUUCGGGGCAGAGGGAAUUCCUGGUGUAGCGGUGAAAUGCGUAGAUAUCGAGAGGAACACCUGCGGCGAAGGCGGGUUGCUGGGCCGACACUGACGCUGAUGCGCGAAAGCCAGGGGAGCGAACGGA